UUCUUUUUCAGGAUUACUUUGGCGCUACGGGGUCUUGAUUCCGGACUUCUGUGGAUUCCCUCUCAUUUGGUAAAGCCUUCCCAUGGUGUCAUGGAGACCCCCAGGACAUCUUCCAGUGAACCAGCACAUCCAGAGAAUGACUGAGUGAGCGGCAUUCGGCCCCCUUCUUCAAGAUGGAAGAAGCCUCUUCAUGGACUCCUUAUCCUGAAGCUACUCCACCAAUGAAAGUCCUUGCCCCUGAUAUGACUGAUAUGACCAGGCCAGCAUCCUCUUUACAACACAAUGAUAUCACAUAUACCCCUAAUUCACAUCUGAUGGCCAUGAUUUCUGUCAUUAACCAAAACUUUGAUAUGUGUAACCCCGAUUACAUUCCCUUCCCUCAUUUGUCAGGCCAAGCUCAAUAUUUAUACUGUGCUCAUCUCAACCUACCUAUAUCUGAUAGCUUAACAUACCUGGGAUAUUCCUAUUAAUAAUUAGGACAGAGUUCAUUGAAGGAGCCAAUCUUAACCUGCCCUUCCAAACUGAACAAGAACAUUGGCUUUAUAGGCCAAGACUCAAUGGUGGCUUACCUUCUAUGUGUGUUACAAAACUCAGCAACUUAUCUACUUGCCUUAAACUAAAAAACAACUGGCUUUUACAUGGAAAGCCCAAAACCUCUACAAGGUCGGACAAUCAUACCUUCUUCUCAGCCACAAGCUUUGCCAUACCUGGAAAAACAAGCAUAUCUCAUACUCCCAAUGUUAGAACUUGCUCUAGUCUCAAAUAUUAAGAUCACCUCUGGAACAUUAUUCCCUGGACAACCUGUUAUGGGGAAACUGAGCAUAAUCUUCACUGCUGAAAUUGGACUAUUACUGACAGGGGCCCUAGAGGACAUCUUAAAACAAAAUAUUCUAAUAAGACCAUAUCCUUUGACCAGUUUAGUAGGGAGAAUUGUUUCUGGAAAGAUGGAGGCUUGUCUGGCCCUCUAAUUUCUGCACAUAAAGGGAAAUUAAAAGGACCUUGUUUAUCUCUGGAAGCUAAGCUUUCCCUUCUUCACGCUUAUUAUUAACCACAGUGAAAACUAUGUAAAAUGACAUAUUAACCUAACUUGGACCUCCCUGUACAAUACCUAAUUUGCUGGACCACUGUUUGUGUGCCUUCUCCCUACGUUCUCUUUGCUACCUCCACUUUACAGAUAAAACAACUAGAAAAUAAUUAUGAAAUCUAUACCUCCCUGGGCUGGUUUUUGUCCUGUGAAAGUAAUGAUAACAUCACCCAAUUACCACCCAAUUAAAUAUCUCCUCCUUGUUAGUACUUAGACUUUGCAUUUCAGCCUGGGCUCCUGUUAAUCUCUGUAAGCACUAUAUGCAUCCAUUGGGACUAGGUGUGCUUUUCAAGCUUACUGGUACUCUACUACAAGGUCAAAAAGAUUUUUGUUGGCCUGUUCAUCAUGGGCAUCCUAGCAGUAGUAGGUGUUACCGUCUCUGCCACUGUAGCUGGAGUUAGCCUGCAUCAUACUCUCCAGAGAGCCCAUGUCCUUAAUCAAUUUAUGGUCAAUACUGCCAAAAAAUUUAUGAGUCAGACUUCCAUCGAUAAACUAGUCUUGGCCUGCCUCGAAGCUCUUGAGGCUGCAGUAGAAUUUAUUGGAAAAAGACAGGAGGCCUUGUUCCUCCACUCCAGACUGCCCUGUCACCCUAACUACCACCACAUCUGAAUGACUGGCAUUCCUUACAAUCAUUCCCAAGCUUGGGAUGCUGUCCAGACAUACCUUCACAGUGUCUUUUCUUCCUACCUCUCUGACAACAGAAAAGAUUUAGAUCUGACUUUGCGCCAAAAGCUACAAUAUGCAGAGGAUCAACUUAAAAAUGCAUAGGCUGAUUCCUGGGAAAUAGGGUAUAACCUGAAUCCUUUCUCACUUAUGGCUAGCACCCAUCUCAAAUUCUGGAUAACUCUGUGAAGCAGAAUGCUUUCACUGUGUCUCUUUUUACGUCUUUGCAGAAUCACUCUUCAGGCCACCUGAAAGCAAAAGAAUGACCAGGAGCUCAUCAUGAUGGUCCUGGAACACAAGACUAGAAGGACCAAGAGAAACAAAAAGGGGGGAAAUUGUGGGGAAUUGGCCCUGCGCAGGUAGCAAUUGGUUAACAAGGCAUAAAGAAAUAAAAAGCCAUAGAAUGGUCGCACAUGAGUUUGGGUAAACAAGAUAGAUCCCCCCCAAGAAUAUGGAAGUGCAGAACCCCAAAAAUAGAGAGGAAUGGGCAAAAGCUCCAAAAUUGGAGGGAGCACCCAGUCUCCCAAUAUAGAGGUAUAUGAGGUAAGCAAGAUUACACAUGUAGGGCAAAAAUGCCCCUCCAAUUUAAUACUAUAGCAGAAAGCUGCUUUCAUAGGAAGGAAAGACCAAAUUAGGUAAGCAGACCUCUGCACUCUGCUGCUGUGGGGCUGCAGGAGAAGCAGCCCAGAGGGGAGGUGCUUAACAAAAGGUGCCUUGUUAACCUUGAAGUGUUUUGCCGAAUCUAUCCUAUCCCCUAGGCUAGCUAAGAGAAACAGGCAAGGCGUCUCCUUUCUGCCAUUAAUGACCACUUGCCCAUCUACCAGGUGCCAGGAUUUAGUUUUAUAUUGACCCAAACCCCAAACACUGUAUAUCCUCAAAAAUCCCCUUUCCCUCAUGCGCAGGGGUUGAUGUUCACAGCUUCUUUAUCUCUUUGUGCACGCCCGUCAUGUUUGUAAGCUUUCUGAUCUUAAUAAAUAUGAGGCAAAGA